rnacentral:rRNA from 1 species
GCGGUGAUCAAAGCCGGGGACCGCAAGACCUGGCGUUNGAAGAGGCGCNUGCGCCCGAUUAGCUAGUUGGUGGGGUAACGGCCUACCAAGGCGAUGAUCGGUCGCUGGUCUGAGAGGACGGCCAGCCACACGGGGACUGAGACACGGCCCCGACUCCUACGGGAGGCAGCAGCAAGGAAUUUUCCGCAAUGGGGGAAACCCUGACGGAGCAACGCCGCGUGGGGGAGGACGCCUUUCGGGGUGUAAACCCCUUUUCUCGGGGACGACGACCGACGGUACCCGAGGAAGAAGGCCCGGCUAACUACGUGCCAGCAGCCGCGGUAAUACGUAGGGGCCGAGCGUUGUCCGGAAUUACUGGGCGUGAAGCGCGCGCAGGCGGCUGUCCGCGCCCGGCGUGAAAGCCCCCGGCUCAACCGGGGAGAGUCGUCGGGGACGGGACAGCUUGAGGGCGGGAGGGGUUGGUGGAAUUCCCGGUGUAGUGGUGAAAUGCGUAGAGAUCGGGAGGAACACCUGUGGCGAAGGCGGCCAACUGGCCCGACCCUGACGCUGAGGCGCGAAGGCGUGGGGAGCGAACGGGAUUAGAUACCCCGGUAGUCCACGCAGUAAACGAUGCAGACUAGGCGUGGGGGGACUUGACCCCCUCCGUGCCGGAGCUAACGCGGGAAGUCUGCCGCCUGGGGAGUACGGCCGCAAGGCUAAAACUCAAAGGAAUUGACGGGGGCCCGCACAAGCGGCGGAGCGUGCGGUUUAAUUCGACGCGACGCGCAAAACCUUA